CCUACGGGUGGCAGCAGUGAGGAAUAUUGGUCAAUGGGCGAGAGCCUGAACCAGCCAAGUCGCGUGAGGGAGUACUGCCCUAUGGGUUGUAAACCUCUUUUGUCGGGGAGCAAAAGCCGGACGUGUCCGGCUGUGAGAGUACCCGAAGAAAAAGCAUCGGCUAACUCCGUGCCAGCAGCCGCGGUAAUACGGAGGAUGCGAGCGUUAUCCGGAUUUAUUGGGUUUAAAGGGUGCGCAGGCGGAUUUUUAAGUCAGCGGUAAAAUCGUGGGGCUCAACCCCAUCCAGCCGUUGAAACUGGGGAUCUAGAGUGUGCGAGAGGUAUGCGGAAUGCGUGGUGUAGCGGUGAAAUGCAUAGAUAUCACGCAGAACCCCGAUUGCGAAGGCAGCAUACCGGUGCACAACUGACGCUCAGGCACGAAAGCGUUGGUAUCGAACAGGAUUAGAUACCCCUGUAGUC
rnacentral:rRNA from 1 species